AACCCCCUUGUUGCAGCGUACAAGUAUUAAUACGCUUCAACAACCAGUCGGUCAACGCGGGUCAAACCCUUUAAAGGGUUGUUGCAGCGUACAAAUUAAUUGCCCCCUGCAAAAGAGAUUUUUGCAGCGUACAUAGUAAAAGCCCCCUGCAAUAGACCUUUUAUUUUGCAGCGUACAUGGUAAAAGCCCCCUGCAAUAACAUAUUUGUAAUUUUUUUCGCUGCAACUUUAACUCAGACCAAACAUUUCUACCUCAAACCUCAUGACCAAUUUCGCAGCGAAUAUCCCACUCUCAUUACUCCCUUCUUCUUCUCUCGGCUUACCCUGCGUCUCGCCGGUGGUUCUCACCAGUGGUCGUCGCCGCGUGGUCUCGCCCGUCGCCGGUGGUACUCUAGCAAGAGUCUAUUUAAUUUCCUCACCUCUCACCGGUGGUUCCCUGCUCGAAAAACCCCCGCAAAAGGUAUUCCCUGCUCGAAAAAACAACCGGCGAAGUGAUUCCCUGCUCGGAAAACUAAGCUUCUUUGCUCGGCCGGUUCGCGAACCCUGUUCUCCGUCAAUCCUCGCUGCGGCAAAGAAAGCCAAAGAAAUUGUUGGCUGACAAGAUUAGGAGAAAAUACAUACGUUUAUCUCGGGUGGGUUAUGAUUUCUUUUGUUUUAAAUGAUGAAAUUUUGCAAAUUCUUGAAUCUUGAUCUUCGUAUGUAAUUUAAACAGAGAUAUAUCAAUUAAUUUGAUUUUCUUGAUGAGAAAAAUAUUGUAAUAAUCCCUGAUUAAGGAAAUAUAAUUCUGUUCAUGCUAGAAAAAUUCACUCAAAGAUAAAUGUUGAACAUCCGACUACCGUAAAAGUGAUGUAAAAUCGAAUGUUUCUGGUGGUUUCAUCUUGGUUAGUACCUCAAAUCAUGUUUUAGGCUCUUUCAUUAGGCAAAUGUGAAAAACUACUCCCUCCAUUCUUGAAUGUCAGUCCUUUUUUGAAUCUAAAGCAAUCCAAUUUAAGUAAUUUCAUGUUUCAUGUUUUAGGCCUUUUCAUUAGCCAAAUGUGACAAACUAUAUAUUAUUCUGAUGAAAUUAAUAUGCUUAUUUUGAGGUGUUUUCUUACUUGGUUCAUUUGGUGGAGUCACAGAGACUUCCUCCACCCUUUUGAAGGGCGCAUAUACCAGUAAAAAACCGUACUGUUAUAGUACUCGAGACAGAUACUGGAGAACAAUACGAAGCCAAUUAUCUGCCUCAAUAUCGUGGACUCAGUGGUGGGUGGAAAAGGUUUGCCAUAGUUCUGAAAUUGGAAGGAGAUACUGUUGUUUUUCAACUAGUUGAACCUGCCAAAUUUAAGUCUACCUCUUCUAGAAUCAAAUCACUAAACUAGUUGAAGCUGAGGAUAAAAGCUGCUAAUGAAGCUGAGGCGGCUUGCCAACGGCGUCUCUCUGUUGCUGAGGCUGAAAUAGCUGAUUUAAGAUCCAAAUUGGAUACUACUGAAAGCAUGGAAGGCAAGCAUUCGUUUCUGUGCCUAGCACUUUUCCUGUGCCUGGAGAAGAACUGAUGUUUUGAUGAUUGUAAGAGGGGCAAGGAGAAGCUUGUUUGUGAUGCUGCUCAAGUACUGCUUUAUUUCGGAGUUGAACAAAUCAUCUAUGUUUCUGAAAUGACGCACUGCUAAAUAAAGGUCUAUACUCCGAGGACUGCGCCUUAUGCUAGUGAGGAAAUUGAUGUGGUUCGUGAGCAAUGGGCGAAGUUUUUUACCACCAAGUAUUUAUUAUUGACCUGAGGGCGCUUGAUCGUGUUGGUUUAGAUGUUAUAGAACAAUCUUUUAUGUUAAAAUGUAUGCGUACGUUGAAAUUGGAACGUAAAUAUAUUUAAAUGUAUCAGU